CUACGGGCGGCUCCAGUGGGGAAUAUUGGACAAUGGGGGAAACCCUGAUCCAGCAAUGCCGCGUGUGUGAAGAAGGCCUGCGGGUUGUAAAGCACUUUCGGUUGGGAGGACUGCUUCUAGCACUAAUAUUGUUGGAAGUUGACGUUACCUUCAGAAGAAGCACCGGCUAACUCCGUGCCAGCAGCCGCGGUAAUACGGAGGGUGCAAGCGUUAAUCGGAAUUACUGGGCGUAAAGCGCGCGUAGGCGGCUAGAUCAGUCGGGUGUGAAAGCCCCGGGCUUAACCUGGGAACUGCAUCCGAUACUGUCUAGCUUGAGUACAGGAGAGGAGAGUGGAAUUCCACAUGUAGCGGUGAAAUGCGUAGAUAUGUGGAGGAACACCAAUGGCGAAGGCAGCUCUCUGGCCUGAUACUGACGCUGAUGUGCGAAAGCGUGGGGAGCAAACAGGAUUAGAUACCCUCUUAGUC
rnacentral:rRNA from 1 species